CGUGUAGGCGGUUGGGCAAGUCAGAUGUGAAAGCCUUCCGCUCAACGGAAGAAGGGCAUUUGAAACUACCCGGCUGGAGUACGGGAGAGGAGAGUGGAAUUCCCGGUGUAGAGGUGAAAUUCGUAGAUAUCGGGAGGAACACCAGUGGCGAAGGCGGCUCUCUGGUCCGAUACUGACUCUGAGACGCGAAAGCGUGGGGAGCAAACAGGAUUAGAUACCCUGGUAGUCCACGCCGUAAACGAUGGGCACUAGGUGUAGGAGGUAUUGACCCCUUCUGUGCCGAAGCUAACGCAUUAAGUGCCCCGCCUGGGGAGUACGGCCGCAAGGCUAAA
rnacentral:rRNA from 1 species